rnacentral:rRNA from 1 species
AUUGAACGCUGGCGGCAGGCCUAACACAUGCAAGUCGAGCGGAUGAGAGGAGCUUGCUCCUUGAUUCAGCGGCGGACGGGUGAGUAAUGCCUAGGAAUCUGCCUGGUAGUGGGGGAUAACGUUCCGAAAGGAACGCUAAUACCGCAUACGUCCUACGGGAGAAAGCAGGGGACCUUCGGGCCUUGCGCUAUCAGAUGAGCCUAGGUCGGAUUAGCUAGUUGGUGAGGUAAUGGCUCACCAAGGCGACGAUCCGUAACUGGUCUGAGAGGAUGAUCAGUCACACUGGAACUGAGACACGGUCCAGACUCCGACGGGAGGCAGCAGUGGGGAAUAUUGGACAAUGGGCGAAAGCCUGAUUCAGCCAUGCCGCGUGUGUGAAGAAGGUCUUCGGAUUGUAAAGCACUUUACGUUGGGAGGAAGGGCAGUAAGUUAAUACCUUGCUGUUUUGACGUUACCAACAGAAUAAGCACCGGCUAACUUCGUGCCAGCAGCCGCCGUAAUAC